CCUGGCACCCAGACCACUUCAUAAAGCUGAAGUGGUCUGGGUGCCUGUAGUGGUCCUUUAAGCAUGAGCUAAAGAAUGCGUUAUGUAAACAAGGCAAUAAGCAGAGAAGGGGGGAUGGAGUACUCCUCUUAAUGUUAGCUUCACACAAGAAAGCCAGACAAUAGUGAUAAAUAACACAUAGUAAUUAAUUUUACUUUCUAAAUCUUACAAGGUCACAUUGUAAGCAAGGGGUGAAAUUAAGGUUUAGACAUGUCAGAAAAUAGAUUUAAAGGUAUAUUGCCACCAUGAUGUCUGAGACAAGACUAGGAAAAACAAAAGAAAGUGCUUCGAACUGACACGUCUGACGAUUGAUAGCAGUCAUUAUAGAUAGGCCAAAUUACG